rnacentral:rRNA from 1 species
CCGCCGGCAAACUACGCGCCAUCAGCCGCGGUAAUACGCCGGGAGCAAGCGUUAAUCGAGAAUUACUGGACGUAAAGCGAGCGCAGGCGGUGAUGUAAGACCAAUGUGAAAUCCCCGGGCUUAACCUGGAAACUGCGUUGGUGACUGCAUAGCUGGAGUAUGGCAGACGGAAAUGAAAUUCCACGUGUAGCAGUGAAAUGCGUAGAGAUGUGGAGGAACACCGAUGGCAAAGGCAGCCCCCUGGGCCAAUACUGACGCUCAUGCACGAAAGCGUGGGGAGCAAACAGGAUUAGAUACCCUGGUAGUCCACGCCCUAAACGAUGUCAACUGGUUGUUGGGGAUUCACUUCCUUACUAACGUACCUAACGCGUGAAGUUGACCGCCUGGGGAGUACGGUCGCAAGAUAAAAACUCAAAGGAAUUGACUGAAAUUCAAAGU